UCCCUUUAACAGACCUAACAUUGUUUACUCUCCGCUUCGCUACGUUCCGUGAAUUAUUGUAGCCGUUAAACAUGGCUUGAUCUAAUAUGGGGAAGCUUUAAUAAAAACGUCAGAGCGUUUCGCAAUUUAUGAGUCAUUGCAAUGAUCUAUAACUCUACUCACACCUUGAGACUCCUCGCAAAAUCUACUAGAAGGGCUGAAACACAAAGCCCGGUUCUCCCGGAGCUCAUUACUCUGCUCGCAGCCUUUGUGGACCGGGGGAGAGGCCCGGGGGAAGCGUACAUUCUGUCCAGGCCACUCGGGGUGUGUGCUGUGCGGUUCCAGCAGGUGCCAGGCACGGGGAGAGGCUUCAGUCCUGCGGCGCUGACCCGGGACGCACUCGGCCAGCACUGAUGGAUUCCUCACCGUCUUCUGGCUCCUCCUCCGGGCACAAGCAGGAGCAGGAGUCUCACAUUUAUUUACGAUAAAUCCCCUGAUGGAGCUCCUGGACUCCACUGUCAUACAUCAGCUGUGUUUGAUGUGGGGCUGCUGGUGUCCACGGGUGGGCUGGAGAUGGACUUCCUCACCGCUAGCCAUCAUCAAUCCUGCCGUCGGACCGCAGAUCUGCACCUCUGCCCUCUUGACCACUGUGACGUACAGCCAUCCGUCACGCCAGUCUGGCUCCUGAAAGCCUAUACAUCUUCCCAACUGGUGCUUUUACAUAUAGUACGCCAAAGAUUAAACUGACUGUAAUCGUG